CCUACGGGGGGCAGCAGUCGAGAAUCAUUCACAAUGGGUGAAACCCUGAUGGUGCGACGCCGCGUGGGGGAAUGAAGGUCUUCGGAUUGUAAACCCCUGUCAUGUGGGAGCAAAUUAAAAAGAUAGUACCACAAGAGGAAGAGACGGCUAACUCUGUGCCAGCAGCCGCGGUAAUACAGAGGUCUCAAGCGUUGUUCGGUAUCACUGGGCGUAAAGGGUGCGUAGGCUGUUUCGUAAGUCGUGUGUGAAAGGCGCGGGCUCAACCCGCGGACGGCACAUGAGACUGCGAGACUAGAGUAAUGGAGGGGUAACCGGAAUUCUCGGUGUAGCAGUGAAAUGCGUAGAUAUCGAGAGGAACACUCGUGGCGAAGGCGGGUUCCUGGACAUUAACUGACGCUGAGGCACGAAGGCCAGGGGAGCGAAAGGGAUUAGAUACCCGGGUAGUC
rnacentral:rRNA from 1 species